UACGAAGGGGGCUAGCGUUGCUCGGAAUCACUGGGCGUAAAGGGUGCGUAGGCGGGUCUUAAGUCAGGGGUGAAAUCCUGGAGCUCAACUCCAGAACUGCCUUUGAUACUGAGAGCUUGAGUCCGGGAGAGGUGAGUGGAACUGCGAGUGUAGAGGUGAAAUUCGUAGAUAUUCGCAAGAACACCAGUGGCGAAGGCGGCUCACUGGCCCGGUACUGACGCUGAGGUGCGAAAGCGUGGGGAGCAAACAGGG
rnacentral:rRNA from 1 species